CAGUUUGUUGCUUUUCGAGACAGGGUUUCUCUGUGGAGUCCUGGCUGUCCUGUAACUCACUCUGUAGACCAGGAUGGCCUUGAACUCAGAAAUCCCAAGUGCUGGGAUUAAAGGUGUGUGUCACCACUGCCUACUAGUUUUUUUUUUUAAUUAUUUUUAAUCAAGAUUCACUAUUUUACCAAUGACUUAACAAGGGAGAGCCCCCAUGCAGAGUCUAGUAAGACAUAGUCUAGUACAAAGGGGAUGAUAGAAGCUGUGGCUCAGAAAAGAGAGGGAGGGCACACUGUUCAGAGCACAUAUUCCUG
rnacentral:lncRNA from 1 species